GACCAGACUCCUACGGGAGGCAGCCGUGGGGAAUAUUGGACAAUGGGGGGACCCCUGAUCCAGCGCCUCCUCGUGAGUGCAGCAGUAUUUCGGUCUGUCCAGCUCUAUCAUCAUGGAAGAAAGCCCUGACGGUACCUUACUCAGAAGCCCCUUCUCACUACGUUCCCUCAGCCGCGGUAAUACUUAUGGAGCAAUCGUUGUCCGGAUUGACUGGGUGUAAAGGGAGCGCAGGCGGCCUUGCAAGUCUGAUGGGAAAGGCCGGGGACCAACCCCGGGACUGCAUUGGAAACUGCGAGGCUGGAGUGUCGGAGAGGCAGGCGGAAUGCCUAGUGUAGCGGUGAAAUGCGUAGAUAUGAGGAGGAACACCAGUGGCGAAGGCGGCCUGCUGGACGAUGACUGACGCUGAGGCUCGAAAGCGUGGGGAGCAAACAGGAUUAGAUACCCCGGUA
rnacentral:rRNA from 1 species